AACAGAGAAGCUGUCUGGAGCAACAAUAGGAUGGAAGACUCUGUAACAACUAUGGAGGCAAUCAGUGAUCAAGAUUUAUUUUUUGAGCUUUACUGUGAGGAAGUAAAUGACCCUCCAUUACCAAUAUGCUCUACCUGCGGAGACUUUCAACACAUCAUUACAGGAGUUCCUUGUUGUCACGUGAACACAACAUUGUUUAAUAUCAGAAGUGAGUUCGUUUCGCAACAUUUGGACACUCCUGCUGGUGAAACGAAGAACUACAUUGUUGCCAGCUGCAGCAAGAGAAAAAACAUUCAAGAGACAAACACGCACAGCCCAAAGCCCAGCAACGGGAAACCAGAGGAAGAAAUGUUCUGCCUGAAUCCAGAAGAAAAUGAGGAUGAAAAGAAAAUUCAAUCUGCUGUGCACUGCCUUGCACACACAAGUAAGUAAAAUAUGCACAAAGUUAGAAAAAAGGUAAGAAAAUAGCUCAUAAAGUUAGAAUACAUGGACUCAGUGUAAACACAAAUUUCAAUGUGAGAAACAGAUCCACAAGUCAAUGUUUUAAAAUCUCCCUGAUCUGAACAAGUUGUCCAUUACGAACACUAUGUUUAAACAUAAAGAUGUCCAUAAGUGCACUUGGCACCAGGACACCCUAGAUCUCAGCUCAGUGACCAAUUUUGUACUUGUCUUAUUGGAUCUGUGGCUAUAUAUUUUGGACACUCAGGUGAAGAGGGAAGCUGAGUUGUUGA